rnacentral:rRNA from 1 species
AUUGAACGCUGGCGGCAGGCCUAACACAUGCAAGUCGAGCGGAUGAAGGGAGCUUGCUCCUGGAUUCAGCGGCGGACGGGUGAGUAAUGCCUAGGAAUCUGCCUGGUAGUGGGGGAUAACGUCCGGAAACGGGCGUUAAUACCGCAUACGUCCUGAGGGAGAAAGUGGGGGAUCUUCGGACCUCACGCUAUCAGAUGAGCCUAGGUCGGAUUAGCUAGUUGGUGGGGUAAAGGCCUACCAAGGCGACGAUCCGUAACUGGUCUGAGAGGAUGAUCAGUCACACUGGAACUGAGACACGGUCCAGACUCCUACGGGAGGCAGCAGUGGGGAAUAUUGGACAAUGGGCGAAAGCCUGAUCCAGCCAUGCCGCGUGUGUGAAGAAGGUCUUCAGAUUGUAAAGCACUUUAAGUUGGGAGGAAGGGCAGUAAGUUAAUACCUUGCUGUUUUGACGUUACCAACAGAAUAAGCACCGGCUAACUUCGUG